rnacentral:rRNA from 1 species
GACAGAGGGGGCAAGCGUUGCUCGGAAUCACUGGGCGUAAAGGGCGCGUAGGCGGGAUGGCAAGUCGGUCGUGAAAUCCUUCGGCUCAACCGAAGAACGUCGGCCGAUACUGCCGUUCUUGAGGGAUGCAGAGGAGAUUGGAAUUCCCGGUGUAGCGGUGAAAUGUGUAGGGAUCGGGAGGAACACCGGUGGCGAAGGCGGGUCUCUGGGCAUCUCCUGACGCUGAGGCGCGAAAGCGUGGGGAGCAAACGGG